rnacentral:rRNA from 1 species
GCGGCGUGCUACACAUGCAGUCGAACGAUGAACCACUUCGGUGGGGAUUAGUGGCGAACGGGUGAGUAACACGUGGGCAAUCUGCCCUGCACUCUGGGACAAGCCCUGGAAACGGGGUCUAAUACCGGAUAUUGACCUUCACGGGCAUCUGUGAGGUUCGAAAGCUCCGGCGGUGCAGGAUGAGCCCGCGGCCUAUCAGCUUGUUGGUGAGGUAAUGGCUCACCAAGGCGACGACGGGUAGCCGGCCUGAGAGGGCGACCGGCCACACUGGGACUGAGACACGGCCCAGACUCCUACGGGAGGCAGCAGUGGGGAAUAUUGCACAAUGGGCGAAAGCCUGAUGCAGCGACGCCGCGUGAGGGAUGACGGCCUUCGGGUUGUAAACCUCUUUCAGCAGGGAAGAAGCGAAAGUGACGGUACCUGCAGAAGAAGCGCCGGCUAACUACGUGCCAGCAGCCGCGGUAAUACGUAGGGCGCAAGCGUUGUCCGGAAUUAUUGGGCGUAAAGAGCUCGUAGGCGGCUUGUCACGUCGGUUGUGAAAGCCCGGGGCUUAACCCCGGGUCUGCAGUCGAUACGGGCAGGCUAGAGUUCGGUAGGGGAGAUCGGAAUUCCUGGUGUAGCGGUGAAAUGCGCAGAUAUCAGGAGGAACACCGGUGGCGAAGGCGGAUCUCUGGGCCGAUACUGACGCUGAGGAGCGAAAGCGUGGGGAGCGAACAGGAUUAGAUACCCUGGUAGUCCACGCCGUA